GCUUGCUGAGAUUUGGUGCAUUUAAAAAUAAGUUAUGUCUGAUCUUGGAAGCUAAGCAGGGUCGGGCCUGGUUAGUACUUGGAUGGGAGACCACCUAGGAAAACCAGGUGCUGUAGUCU
rnacentral:rRNA from 1 species